rnacentral:lncRNA from 1 species
UUUGUUGUUGGGGAACAAUGUAAUCUUUUGAAACUCUCAUUUAUCCCAAUUCUUAUUUAUUUCAUAUGCUUGUCAUAUACUUGUUUAUCAAUUGUUGGGUUCUCAUCUAUGCUUAAUGCUUUUAUUGUUUAACUCAUUCAGUAAAAGUGGUUUGUCUUUAUUGAUACGGGGACAUACGGUAAUCUCAUGAACUGGUGAGAAAUUCCUUGAUUAUGCUAAUACUGCCUAGGGAUAGGGGUAGGACGAUCAAUUGUAUUUUGCUUCCGUUCACAUUGCAUUAUUGGUUACUAGGGGAGGCUAAGGAUAACAAGUCGGUAAUUAAUAAUAGGCUCUUUUCACUAAGGGAUUGGGUUAAGGGUAGGCUAGAAAGUUUGCAUGGCAAUUGGAUAAAUAAGUGAAGUAAAUAAGAAGAGUACAUAUAUGAGAGUGGAUAAGAUGAAAUUGUAAACCCCAACAACACCAUUCAUCCAUAGUUUCUUAAAACCAAAUGAAUCAACUGCAUUUGCAUGUGUAUUUUUUUCUUUGCAUACAAAC